rnacentral:rRNA from 1 species
GCUAUCGGAACGGGACUAAGCCAUGCGAGUCUUGCCAGUCGAAGCACGUCGACUAGCGGCGAACGGCUCAGUAACACGUAGUCAACCUGCCCUCGGGACGGGAACAAUCUCGGGAAACUGAGGCUAAUUCCUGAUAGGUCGAGAUUCCUGGAAUGGGUUUUGGCUCAAAGGGCGUGGCAGCAUCUUGCCAUUUUCGCCCGAGGAUGGGACUGCGGCCGAUCAGGCUGUUGGUGGGGUAAAGGCCCACCAAACCAGUAACCGGUACGGGCUUUGAGAGAAGGAGCCCGGAGAUGGACACUGAGACAAGGGUCCAGGUCCUACGGGGCGCAGCAGGCGCGAAACCUUCGCAAUGUGCGAAAGCACGACGAGGUUAUUCCGAGUGGUCUCCGCUGAGGAGACCUUUUCUCAGAUCUAAAACGUCUGGGGAAUAAGGGGAGGGCAAGUCUGGUGU